UCCGUAGGUGAACCUGCGGAAGGAUCAUUCGAAGUCUCCAAAAGUUCUUUUUUACCUUUUGGUGUUAUUCGGUUCAAAUCGAGCUCUUUAUGUAUUAAAAAAGCCCUUGAUGAUCUCUCUUUAUAUACUUAUAUAGGGGGAGGUUUGAAGGGGCCUCUUUGAGGAAAGGGGCGGGGGGAGGUCUUCCUCUCUCUCUCUCUUUCCUUGAACUGAUCACCCUUUUUUAUAUCAUAUAUACUAUUAUUCUUUUUUCUUAUAACCUUGAAGGAGAUGAAGCGGGGGUAUAUACUCCCACUUCCUCUUCUUUACUUAAACCGAAAUCACUGUUAACAACGGAUCACUCGGUUCCCACGUCGAUGAAGAGCGUAGCGAAUUGCGAAAAGUAAUGCGAUCUGCACCCAUCGUGAAUCAUCGAAUUCUUGAACGCACACUGCACCCAAUGGUAUCCCCAUGGGUAUGCCUAAUUGAGUACUUUUUAAACCUCAAGCCCUUAUCUGGUGUGUAUAUAUUUUACGAUAUGUACUCACUGGGUGAGUUUGGUUUGGAUUUGGUUCACUCGCCCUUUCUUUUACGGGAGGGGUGCUGAACUUGAAUGUAUAACGCUGGUACACUUUUCUUUUCUCUUUUGAACAGGAAAGUGUCCUCCAGUCCUUCUUCUACAAUAAUGACUGCCCCAUUAGCCUGGUGUAUUGGUUCUGGCCCCUUCAUUCUCCCUUAUACAUUUGUGUAAGUGUGUGUGUGUUGGAGUCAAGAUAUUUUCACAUUAGUCUAACGGUGUGUAGCCCGUAGUAGAAUGUGUCUGGGUGGCUUGAUCCAGUUGCUCGUCCUACCCUUUCCCCUACUCUCUUUCUCUUUAAGCGUGUAGAAAAGGGCCAUCUUUCUUAACGUCUCAGUUAGGUAAGGGUACCCGCUGAACUUAAGCAUAUCAAUAAGCGGAGGA
rnacentral:rRNA from 1 species